rnacentral:lncRNA from 10 species
CUGAUUUGCAGUGCUCGUGAUAGUGAGUGAGUUCUCACGAGAUCUGCCUCUUUAAAAGCGUGUGGCACCUUCCGCUUCACUCUCUUCCUCCUUCCGCCUCGUAAGACACGUCUCUUUCCUCUUCGCCCUCCGCCAUGAUUGGCCUCCAGAGGAACCAGCGCUGCCGACUCCUUGAUUCUAACCCACUGAGGCCUAUUUUGGAUUUCUGCACCCCAGAACUGUGGGAGAGUAAAUUGUGCUGUUGAAGCCACCACAUUUGUGGUGAUCUGUUCCAGCUGCAGUAGGAAGCUCGUAUGCUUGGCAGUUCUGAUUGUGAACUCACCUUUAUGUUGGAGAUUCCUUUACACAUAAGUCCCCUUAUCCACAGCGGACAAAUUCCAUGACCCCCAGUGGAUGCCUGAAAUCGCGGAGAGUACUGAAUCCUACAUAUAAUGUGUUCUUUCCUAUAUGUAUAUGUAUAUAUCUAUAUCUAUGAUACAGUCUAAUUUAUAAAUUAGGCACAGUGAGAGAUUAACAACAAUAACUAAUAGUAAAAUAGGACAAUGAUGACAAUAUAAUGUAAUAAAAGUUUUGUGAAUAUGGUCUCUCUUCUCUCUCAAAAUAUCUUACUGUAAAAUUAGCUGGCCAUGGUGGCGUGUGCCUGUAGUCCCAGCUACUCAGGAGUGUGAGAAGGGAGGAUCACUUAAGCCUAGGAGGUGGGGGCUGCAGUGAGCCAAAGAUUGUGCCAUUGCACACCAGCCUGGGCAACAGAGUGAGAUCCUGUUUCUAAAAACAAACAAACAAAAAACAAACUUACUGAACUUAUUGUACUGAUAUUUUUGAACCAUGGUCGACUGUGGGUAACUGAAACCAUGAAAAAGUGAAACCACUGAUAAGGGGGAUUGCUGUACUCCCUGCUGUGUCAGUGACUCAGCCUCCCUGGUGGAGGGAACGGCUGCUGGGGAACACAUUGGAAGCUGGUCUUCUGGGUCCCCAGGAGGCAACCUAUUCAUGAAAAUAAUAUGUUCAUUUUAUACAAGUUGGAAAAUAUAGAAUAAUAUAAAUAAUUUGCAUAAGACUCAUAAUCUGGUUCACAGGCAACCAUUAUAAAUAUUUGAAAAAAAUUUUUUUUUUUUUUUAGACAAGAGUUUCGCUCUUGUUGCCCAAGCUGGAGCGCAAUGGC